GACGUACAUAUGCUAUCCGGGCAAGGGAAGAAGCUUCUGCUCCAGAUGUGAUAGCUGAUCAAGAAUCCAAAGAAGAACGAGGAAAAGAAAAAGUUGCGGAAUAGUCCCUAAAUUUCAAUAUCUUCUACAAAUUAGCCGGAUUGACUUGAAGUGAAGUGGGUAGAUCGGAUCAACACAACAAAGCACACUAUCCAGAUCAAUUCGGUAGCUUUUGUUUUAUGUUUGAAGAUUUAUAUGGCAUGUAUAGAGUUUGAAUGAAUUGAAGUAAAGAUGUUAUAAACUAGUUAACAAUAUUUGUA